rnacentral:tRNA from 1 species
GGGGACUGAGCUCAGCGGUAGAGCGCUUGCCUAGCAAGCACAAGGCCCUGGGUUCGGUCCCCAGCUCCG